UCGAGCGGUAGAGAGGAGCUUGCUCCUCUUGAGAGCGGCGGACGGGUGAGUAAUGCCUAGGAAUCUGCCUGGUAGUGGGGGAUAACGUUCGGAAACGGACGCUAAUACCGCAUACGUCCUACGGGAGAAAGCAGGGGACCUUCGGGCCUUGCGCUAUCAGAUGAGCCUAGGUCGGAUUAGCUAGUUGGUGAGGUAAUGGCUCACCAAGGCGACGAUCCGUAACUGGUCUGAGAGGAUGAUCAGUCACACUGGAACUGAGACACGGUCCAGACUCCUACGGGAGGCAGCAGUGGGGAAUAUUGGACAAUGGGCGAAAGCCUGAUCCAGCCAUGCCGCGUGUGUGAAGAAGGUCUUCGGAUUGUAAAGCACUUUAAGUUGGGAGGAAGGGCAGUAAAUUAAUACUUUGCUGUUUUGACGUUACCGACAGAAUAAGCACCGGCUAACUCUGUGCCAGCAGCCGCGGUAAUACAGAGGGUGCAAGCGUUAAUCGGAAUUACUGGGCGUAAAGCGCGCGUAGGUGGUUUGUUAAGUUGGAUGUGAAAUCCCCGGGCUCAACCUGGGAACUGCAUUCAAAACUGACUGACUAGAGUAUGGUAGAGGGGUUGGUGGAAUUUCCUGUGUAGCGGUGAAAUGCGUAGAUAUAGGAAGGAACACCAGUGGCGAAGGCGACCACCUGGACUAAUACUGACACUGAGGUGCGAAAGCGUGGGGGAGCAAACAGGAUUAGAUACCCUGGUAGUCCACGCCGUAACGAUGUCAACUAGCCGUUGGGAGCCUUGAGCUCUUAGUGCGCAGCUAACGCAUUAA
rnacentral:rRNA from 1 species